AGUGAACGCUGGCGGUAGGCCUAACACAUGCAAGUCGAACGGCAGCACAGUAAGAGCUUGCUCUUACGGGUGGCGAGUGGCGGACGGGUGAGGAAUACAUCGGAAUCUACUUUUUCGUGGGUGAUAACGUAGGGAAACUUACGCUAAUACCGCAUACGACCUACGGGUGAAAGCAGGGGAUCUUCGGACCUUGCGCGAUUGAAUGAGCCGAUGUCGGAUUAGCUAGUUGGCGGGGUAAAGGCCCACCAAGGCGACGAUCCGUAGCUGGUCUGAGAGGAUGAUCAGACACACUGGAACUGAGACACGGUCCAGACUCCUACGGGAGGCAGCAGUGGGGAAUAUUGGACAAUGGGCGCAAGCCUGAUCCAGCCAUACCGCGUGGGUGAAGAAGGCCUUCGGGUUGUAAAGCCCUUUUGUUGGGAAAGAAAAGCAGCAGGUUAAUACCCCGCUGUUCUGACGGUACCCAAAGAAUAAGCACCGGCUAACUUCGUG
rnacentral:rRNA from 1 species